AUUGAAUGCUGGCGGCAGGCCUAACAAAUGCAAGUCGAACGAGUGGCGGACGGGUGAGUAAUGUCUGGGAAAAUGCCUGAAGGAGGGGGAUAACUACUGGAAACGGUAGCUAAUAACGCAUACCAUCGGAUGUGCCCAGAUGGGAGUAGCUAGUAGUUGGGGUAAAGGCUCACAUAGGCGCCGAUCCCUAGCUGGUCUGAGAGGAGGACCCGCCACACUGGAACUGUGGCGCGGUCCAGACUCCUUCGGGAGGCAGCAGGGGGGAAUAUUGCACAAUGGGCGCAAGCCUGAUGCAGCCAUGCCGCGUGUGUGAAGAAGGCCUUCGGGUUGUAAAGCACUUUCAGCGAGGAGGCGUUACUCGCAGAAGAAGCACCGGCUAACUCCGUGCCAGCAGCCGCGGUAAUAC
rnacentral:rRNA from 1 species